UACACAAAAAUCACAAUUGGAGCUUUAUUUAGAGGAGCCAAGGAUGGCUACUGAAAUUGAAUUGAAUGUGCUUGAUUAUUGGAAAGCAAAUCAGUUUCGUUAUCCUGAAGUUGCUUCAAUGGCUCGUGAUCUAUUGAGUAUCCCUAUAUCCACCGUUGCUUCUGAAUCUGCUUUUAGCAUUGGUGGACGAGUAUUAGAUCAAUUUCGUAGUUCAUUAAAGCCUAGCACUGUUGAAGCGAUAGUUUGUACAAGAGAUUGGUUAUUUGGGCAAAGAGAAAAAUUUGAAGCACAACUUGAGGAUCUUACUGAAGAUGUUUUGAGCUGUGAUAUCAAUAAAGAAGAAUCUUCAAGUCAAUGCUCUAAUUAUGCUAAUACUCAAGCAUAAGGCUGGAUUGUUGAGCACCAAAAUCGACAUAUUUGGUUUGGAAUCUGGACAUCGAUAAAUAAAUUUGGAGCAUAAUGAUAGUUAUGUCCUUUUUCCUUUGGUUUUAUAUGUAUUAUGAUAACAAUUUGAUACCAUUUAUUUUAUUUUGUAUUGGUGUUUUACUAUUAUUAGGACAUUAAAUUUUAUGUUGGUGUA